AGCUGUUCAUUGGAGAAACAAAACAGCCAUUACACAAGAGGAUGUACUAACACAAACCUCAGCCAUUCAAUUGCAGGAAUGUGGGUGACCACUUAGUGGAUACAAAUGUGGACUGAACCCUGUUCAAUGUAAACUAUUGAUUAUAUGUAGAGAAUUUGACUAAAUAGGCUAAAUAUUGUCAGCUGGUGUAAAUAUAAGUACUUUAAAGAGGGUUUUAAUGGGUUUCUCAUUUCUGUGGUGACACUGAUUAUUGCUGUUCAACUGAAGUUAAACUUAGAUCUAUAGAAUGUGCUUGUGUACCAUUUGAUAAAUACAGCCUUCUUAAAGUAAUAUUUUAAGUGUGUCAACUGCAUCCUAAAAUGGAGAUAUUGUACAAGUCGAGGAAACUAAACUUUAUGGAUAAUAGUAAAUCAUUGAUACAAUCUACCAAAGACAGCAUGUUAAAGGCCUGAGUGAAGUAUAUAUGUGUUUUUUUUCCUUUUCUUCUUUUUUUUAGGAGAGAAGAGAAAAAGAAGAGAUCUACCCUUUGUGAUCUUCACAUCCCUGUGCCACCUGGUUCCUGAUGACAGCAGAGAACAGGACAAAGCAGCAAAAAAAGAAGAUGGACAUUUUGUCAUCACUGCACCAUUCUAGGAAAACAGCGAUGACAACAUGGGGGACCAUCAAUGCCAACAGUGGGAACAGCUUGGACUUUUAUGAUGUUUCUUUAAAUAUAUACUGUUUUUUGAAAGGAUAAAACCAUGUCCUGCCAUCCAGAUAACAUCUGUUUUUCAGGAAGUGACGCUCCCAGCCCACAGUCUUCACACAAUGGAGCAACAUGACAUCAAAUUAAGGAGUGUGGGGGAACCGAACGUCACUGUGAAAAGAAAGCAACACAUUUCAAGUCUUAACAAAAGAGAUGCCAAAGGCUCACUGGAAGCAGGGGGUUUAGAGUGUCUGAGAUCACAGCUGAAGAGGAAAGACCAGUCUGGGCAUCAACAACGGUGGCAAAUUCCCAGAAUCUGGCUUGGAGCACCCGUGAGCAGAGAGAGGCCAAGUUGCAGCAGUCUGCAGAGAAUGGGAUCUGCUGGAGCUCCAUCUCUUCAGGGGCUGUGUGACUUCCUGGCAGCCAGAAUCACAGCUGAGCUUUCUCACUCCAGACGCACAGAUCCCUCACUGCAGGAGUUCAGCGUCUGAUCUAGAUGUGUCAUUCACUUUUGUUUGCUUAGUUGUUUAUUUGUUGGAACAGAAUACAUUAUAUAUAUGUAUAUAUAUAUGAAAUUUACACUCAAUGUUGUACAUUUAGAACGU